rnacentral:rRNA from 1 species
GACGAACGCUGGCGGCGUGCUUAACGCAUGCAAGUCGAACGGAAAGGCCCCUUCGGGGGUACUCGAGUGGCGAACGGGUGAGUAACACGUGAGUAACCUGCCCUUGACUUCGGGAUAACUUCAGGAAACUGGGGCUAAUACCGGAUAGGAAUCCUUGCUGCAUGGUGGGGGUUGGAAAGCUUCGGCGGUUUUGGAUGGACUCGCGGCUUAUCAGCUUGUUGGUGGGGUAGUGGCUUACCAAGGCUUUGACGGGUAGCCGGCCUGAGAGGGCGACCGGCCACAUUGGGACUGAGAUACGGCCCAGACUCCUACGGGAGGCAGCAGUGGGGAAUAUUGCACAAUGGGCGGAAGCCUGAUGCAGCAACGCCGCGGGCGGGAUGACGGCCUUCGGGUUGUAAACCGCUUUCAGCAGGGGCGAAGCUUGUGGUGACGGUACCUGCAGAAGAAGCACCGGCUAACUACGUG